rnacentral:rRNA from 1 species
GAUGAACGCUGGCGGCGUGCCUAAUACAUGCAAGUCGAACGCUGAAGGAGGAGCUUGCUCUUCUGGAUGAGUUGCGAACGGGUGAGUAACGCGUAGGUAACCUGCCUGGUAGCGGGGGAUAACUAUUGGAAACGAUAGCUAAUACCGCAUGACAACAGUUAUUGCAUGAUAACUGUUUAAAAGGGGCAACUGCUCCACUACCAGAUGGACCUGCGUUGUAUUAGCUAGUUGGUGAGGUAACGGCUCACCAAGGCGACGAUACAUAGCCGACCUGAGAGGGUGAUCGGCCACACUGGGACUGAGACACGGCCCAGACUCCUACGGGAGGCAGCAGUAGGGAAUCUUCGGCAAUGGACGGAAGUCUGACCGAGCAACGCCGCGGGAGUGAAGAAGGUUGUCGGAUCGUAAAGCUCUGUUGUAAGAGAAGAACGAGUGUGAGAGUGGAAAGUUCACACUGUGACGGUAGCUGACCAGAAAGGGACGGCUAACUACGUG